rnacentral:rRNA from 1 species
AUACGGAGGGUGCAAGCGUUACUCGGAAUCACUGGGCGUAAAGCGCGCGCAGGCGGCUAUUUAAGUUGGAUGUGAAAGCCUACGGCUCAACCGUAGAACUGCAUCCAAAACUAUUUAGCUAGAGUGUGGGAGAGGAAGAUGGAAUUAGUUGUGUAGGGGUAAAAUCCGUAGAGAUAACUAGGAAUACCAAAAGCGAAGGCAAUCUUCUGGAACAUUACUGACGCUGAGGCGCGAAAGCGUGGGGAGCAAACAGGAUUAGAAACCCUUGUAGUCC